AACUAUUUUAUAGCUCAUAACAUAAAUCAUUAAAUUAUUUUACAAACUAAAACAAAACAUUUAAAUAAUUAUAGUAUAGGCGAUAG
rnacentral:rRNA from 1 species